CUUUGACGAAGGUCUUGUAAAUACCAUAUUUCCUCUUCUUAUGUGUACCUUGUAAUAGGAUCACAUCUUGCAAAUUUGUGAAGGACGACCCCGACUAGGAGCUUAUUAGGGGGGGCAGCGCUUAGCGCUUAUUAGAGGCUUUUAGAGGCUGGAGCAUUGUUUAAUUUUUGGCGCCUCAGACUUGGGGUUAUUAAAAGGAGGGGUCAAGUCUUUGGAGGCUGGGGACUUAAUAGAGGCAAUACGAGUUUUUCCAGUUGUUCAAGAGUCUUACAACGUCGAAGAUUACUGCCAAGAAAUAUACGGUCCAUGAAUUCUUUGGAAAGUAUUUUGCAUCCAUCGACCUGGCAUAGGUUGCCUGCACUUGAGAUUAAAUUAUCGGAGAAAAACGAAAUCCCAGAUUCCUUGGUUAGAGUGUUUAUAGGAACCUCGAAUUCAUGCAGUUGACGAUCRUCGCUGAUUGGUUGAUUAGGGACGACGAAGGCGCCAAGAAGAGGAGGACUGUCUUUUCUGUCUGCUAAAAUGACCUUGAAUAAGUGGGUUGGUACAGCAACUUCGCUAUCACCGAUCACCUAAGAACAAGGCAUAUGUCGCUGAGCUUUCCCCCUUCAAUUUAAGUAAGAGAGGCRGGCAAAGAAGGAAAAGCAUUGAAGAGCAGAGACGGGACAAAGGGAAAGGAGAAGAGAAAGAGGGAGGAGAGGCAGGAGGCGAGGAUAGGAAAGAAGAAAAUACUGAAGAGAGAUAUAGAAGGGAAAGGAUUCUUAAAACAAAUUUAUACUGAGCUCUUACCUCAUAUUUCACUACUUUGCUACCAUUUUCCAAGUCGAAAGAUGGUAGAAAUAGAGGUCCUGAUAGAACAUACACAUCAGAAUAGCGYUUCGUAAGGCCUCGACAGUAACUUUCGAGUCGAAACCAAAAUUUAACRUUAUUGUUGGAGUUUUGAGGUACAAUAUUAGACAAGAGAAAUGAUUCAUUCAUGG